UACGUAGGGGGCGAGCGUUGUUCGGAAUUACUGGGCGUAAAGAGCUCGUAGGCGGUUUGUCGCGUCUGCUGUGAAAACUCGGGGCUUAACCCUGGGCCUGCGGUGGGUACGGGCAGACUAGAGUGCGGUAGGGGAGACUGGAAUUCCUGGUGUAGCGGUGAAAUGCGCAGAUAUCAGGAGGAACACCGGUGGCGAAGGCGGGUCUCUGGGCCGUAACUGACGCUGAGGAGCGAAAGCGUGGGGAGCGAACAGG
rnacentral:rRNA from 1 species